AAGCACAACAACAACAACAACAAUCUCUGAAGCUCUGAAUGAAGUGGGAACAGGAACUACAAUGCUCCCUCUCUGAUUAGGAGCCCAGGAGCCCAGCAGCCAGGGCCUUCUUAGUUGGACAUACCCAAGAGCAUUCAGAAUUCUACUUUCAGCUUCUGGAAGGCCCUGAGUCCAUUUGUCUGGGAGUCCUCCUUUAGCUGCUACCUCGACCUUAAUAUUCCUUCCUUCCUGAACACUGCUGAGAUGAUCCAUGUGAAACAUGAAGAAGCCAAGCAACUUGCCCAAGAUCACCUCAGAAGAAUGCAUUACUUCUGGGAUCCCUGGGACCCUUUUAAAUUCUCAUCAAAACAUUUAACUAAAAUGUUGAUUGCUUUAUUUCAUCAGAAAUGGGCUCCUAUUCAAGGUUUAUCCUACCUGGCACCCUCUUCUCUUAUGUGAUCUGCCUGACUCUGGCAGACACAUGAUGCUUCUCAUGUUUAAGAGAAAGGGAGAGCUUAUUGUGCUAAGGAUACCUUCUCUGUUCAUGGCCUAGUGGGCACCUGUUUAAGAUUAAAGCAUUCUGACUCAUUGCCCUUAAGAGAU